UAGGGAAUCUUCGGCAAUGGGGGCAAGUCUGAUGGAGCAACGCCGCGUGAGUGAAGAAGGUCUUCGGAUCGUAAAACUCUGUUGUUAGAGAAGAACACGAGUGAGAGUAACUGUUCAUUCGAUGACGGUAUCUAACCAGCAAGUCACGGCUAACUACGUGCCAG
rnacentral:rRNA from 1 species